AAUGAACGUUGGCGACGUGGAUUAGGCAUGCAAGUCGUUCGCCCGGCAACGGGCGAGGCGCAAGGGUGAGUAAGGCGACGGCAACCAACCCCGGGGGUGGGCAUAGCCGCGGGAAACUGCGGGUAAUUCCCAGCGACGUCGGGGGGUGGCAUCAUCCACCGACCAAAGGUGCGAUUCCGCCCCGGGACGGGCCGUCGUGGUAUCAGCUUGUUGGCGGGGUAACGGCCCACCAAGGCUAAGACGCCUACCGGGCGUGCGAGCGUGGCCCGGCACACUGGGACUGAGACACUGCCCAGACACCUACGGGAGGCAGCAGUGGGGAAUAUUGGACAAUGGGCGCAAGCCUGAUCCAGCAAUUCCGCGUGGGUGAAGAA
rnacentral:rRNA from 1 species